ensembl:lncRNA
CACACGUCUGUUCACAUCUGCUGCUCUGCAACAGCAGCAAAAAAGCCGACUCGUCGCUGGACGCACGAGGCCACCAGGUUUGUUACACUGAAGUGGAAGAGAGCUGAAUGAGUCAAAGAGGAACAGUUCUAAUGGCGGCUUUGUGGCUGCGUGGAGGAUGAGUGCAGCAAGGGCGAGGCUGUUGCGGGUAAAAGGCUCUUUGGACAGCGUCUCUUCAUCACCGCCCACAGCUGCUGUUGACUCAAGCGCCCAGGAAUCUCCUCCACGGGUUCACACCCUCCUAACCAGCCAGCCGCACACCAGAGAGCGAGCAAAAGGUCCUGCAAGACCUCAAGGUCUCCAGGAUGCAACAUUUGCUCUGGCAGCGGUCAGCAUAGGUCAGAGGAGGACCGCCGUUAGAGAAGAUUCGUUACCUCAACAGGAUGCUCAUUUCUAGCCUCGUCUCCUUGGCAACUAAAGACACAUCACAACAUGUCUUAUAAUUGAAGUCAAACUCUACGUAGUUUUCUCUCUGCAAUGUUCCAUCUGUCAAACAGCUAAGAGCCCGUUGGUUCACAUACAUGACACGAGUAACACGGACUAGAAGCUUCCUGUCAAAGGGAAAACAAAACAGUGGCUUCAGUCGCACAAAGGAUCCGUCCUUCAUCUCAACCGCUCAGGAAUGUCUUCACAGCCUCCUGCUCAGCCGGCCGCACCGCGGCACACGGAGCCCCGAAGGCCGGCGAGGCCACACGCUGCAAACGGUUACGUGUCACAAAACAGACACUGACCCGCUGAAGUCAAUCAACUUCACAGGGGAACCGAAUGGAGGAGACUGUAAUCUUUGAGAUAAGAAAAUGAGUCACAUAUUUGACUUUUACAGCAUCUUUUAUCCGGACAGUUUCCACUCACACAAACACACACGUUGUGUGUCUGUCAGGGCUGCAAAUCCUGCGUACACAACCCCUGCUGUUUGUUUAUCUCCACUGAGGCUCACCAGAUGUGUGGAGAUGCAGCGGAUAACUCGGGUCAUGUAGUCACGAGUUACCGUUUACUUUGCAACAACAUCGAAACCACAAAUUCCUCCUCUGGAUUUUGCUGCUCUGGACUUCUCUCCUUCUCUUCCCACAACUCAUGAAAACCUUGUUCCUGUGAUGCUACGUUGGUCAAAAUAUCCAACACAUGAGGAGGAAGGAGGUCAAUUCUGUUUUUUUUCCUGAUUUUCUUUCAAUUAAAUGUUUCUAUCUGUUGUGUAAAGUGGUCAAAUGAAGCAAUACGG